rnacentral:rRNA from 1 species
CAAGAGCGUAUAUUAAAGUUGCUGCGGUUAAAAAGCUCGUAGUUGGAUUUCAGUCUAGGAAGGUUAGCUCGCCGAAAGGUUGUACGUUGAUUUUCCUCAGACUUCGUCAGAAGCUCGUGCUGCACUUAACUGUGUGGUACGAUGUUCUGACCUUUUACCUUGAGGAAAGUAGAGUGUUUCAGGCAGGCUACCCAGCUUGAAUACAUUAGCAUGGAAUAAUGAAAUGGAUCUCGGUUCGAUUUCGUUGGUUCUAGAGCUGAGGUGAUGAUCAAUAGGAACAGGCGAAGGUAUUCGUACUUGAGAGUGAGGAGUGAAAUCCGAUGAUCUCUUAAAGACGAUCCGAGGCGAAAGCAUUUGUCAAGGAUGUUUUCAUUGA